CCUACGGGAGGCAGCAGUGGGGAAUAUUGCACAAUGGGGGAAACCCUGAUGCAGCAACGCCGCGUGAGUGAUGACGGCCUUCGGGUUGUAAAGCUCUGUCUUCAGGGACGAGAAUGACGGUACCUGAGGAGGAAGCCACGGCUAACGACGUGCCAGCAGCCGCGGGAAUACGUAGGUGGCGAGCGUUGUCCGGAUUUACUGGGCGUAAAGGGAGCGUAGGCGGACUUUUAAGUGAGAUGUGAAAUACUCGGGCUCAACUUGAGUGCUGCAUUUCAAACUGGAAGUCUAGAGUGCAGGAGAGGAGACUGGAAUUCCUAUUGUAGCGGUGACAUGCGUCGAGAUUAUGCAGCACCCCAGUGGCUACGGCGCUUCUCUGGACUGUACCUGACGCUGCGGCUCGACAGCGUGGGGAGCAAACAGGAUUAGAUACCCCAGUAGUC
rnacentral:rRNA from 1 species